UAAUUAAGGAGGUGAAAUUCAUUUAAAUUAUAAGCUAAUAGCUAGCCAUUGGAGUUCAAAGUAGCUACAAUAACAAUUAGCUUAAAAGUUUAUGUGGCAUGCCAAGCUUAUUGUCAAAUUAGCUUGCCGUUGGAGUUGCUCUUAGUGAAUGACAGGAUAAUACAGGUUAUUAGCACACCUCAUCAACGCUUCUUCAUUUUUCAGGCACCGAGUUCUUGAGUCUAACCCUAGAGUCACUGCUCACAACUGAAAAACCCCCCAAUUCUCUAUCUUCCUCUCUCAUCUGCUCACUUUCUCCAUCAAUCUGCCUCUGCAACCGUCACCAUCGCUCAUAUCGCCGGAUUCCUUGUACACCGACGCCGCGCAAAUUCCUCUAUAUAUUGUCCUUCCAGCAAAAUGAUGUUGAUUGUGGACAAGAUGUGAUGCAAUUCAGGAAAAAAAUCAAUUCACAUAAGCCCCUUAAACUUCUUGAACUUGUAACUUUGCCUUCUAGUGUAUUCUCUUGAUAAUUAUUAUCAAGGUACUUAUCUGGUUUUCAUUCUACCAGACCUGUUGCUACUGCCUUAGUCGCUAUUAUUAACGUUGAAAUUAUUGAUGAUGAUGAUGUUGUAGAUGCUGCUGCUGUUAAAUAUUCCUAUUAAUGCUAAUAUCAACUUUGUACAAUUGAAAUACUUUCUUUUGGGAAAAAAUUGUAAUAUUUAUUACAAUAAUUAUUAUUGAAAAUAUUCAACUUUUUUUUUCAAGGUUUAAAUAUAUGUAUGUGCAUCUGUUUCAAUUUAGAGGGAAAAAAACCCAUUUUUUUAAUGGGCAUAUUUGGCAAUGUUUCAUGUAAGAACUGGUGCACCAUGGGCACCAAGCAUUUAGGUACCGGUGUCUUUGUGGUUUUUAUACUAGAAAUAAUCUAUUGCAAAAAUUUAGUAACUAAAAUAUGUAUUAGCAACUGAUUGGUUAGUAGCACAUAAUUGAUCUUAGUAGUUGCUAAUCAGUCACAAAAUUAUUGGUCUCCGUAGUCGCUAAUCCGCCGAACAAUACUGGUCAACGUAGUCUUAAAAAUUUGGUCAAAGUAGUCACUAAUCUGUUGCUAAUAUUUUGUGAUGGAAAACAGAUCAGUUGCUAAAAUCUCAAAGUUAUCAUUAAAUGACAAUCGCAAAUUAGUCGCUAACAUUUUGCGACGGGCAAUAAUUUAGUUCCUAAAAUUUUAAAGUUAGUUGCUAAAUGACAGUUGCAAAGUUGUUGCUAAAUUUGUGACUAUACCAAAAUUAGUCGCAAAAAUGGAUUUGCGACGAGGUCUUUAGUGACUAACCAAAGUAGUUGCAAAUCCUUCGCAAAUCCAUUUUUGCGACUAAUUUGACCGUCGCAAAUUCCCCUUUUUCUUGUAGUGGUCUAUUAUAAAAAAAAAAAAAA